GAUGAACGCUGGCGGCGUGCUUAACACAUGCAAGUCGAACGGUGAAGGCGGAGCUUGCUCUGCUGGCGCAGUGGCGAACGGGUGCGUAACACGUGAGCAAUCGGCCCCUCUCUUUGGGAUAAGCGCUGGAAACGGCGCCUAAUACUGGAUACCAUCUGCCCAAGCAUCUUCAGCAGCUGAACAUCACGUCUGUCAGGGAUGAGCUCGCGGCUUAUCAGCUUGUUGGUGAGGUAACGGCUCACCCACGCGUCGACGGGUCGCCGGCCUGGGAGGGUGACCGGCCACACGGGGACUGAGGCACGGACCAGACUGCAACGGGAGGCAGCAGUGGGGAAUAUUGCACAAUGGGAGAAAGCCUGAUGCAGCAACGCCGCGUGAGGGAAGACGGCCUUCGGGUUGUAAACCUCUUUUAGCUGAGAAGAAGCGAUAGUGACGGUACCUGCAGAAAAAGCGCCGGCUAACUACGUG
rnacentral:rRNA from 1 species